rnacentral:rRNA from 1 species
UAGAGUAAUACAUAAGUAACCUGCCCUAGACAGGGGGAUAACUAUUGGAAACGAUAGCUAAGACCGCAUAGGUACGGACACUGCAUAGUGACCGUAUUAAAAGUGCCUCAAAGCACUGGUAGAGGAUGGACUUAUGGCGCAUUAGCUGGUUGGCGGGGUAACGGCCCACCAAGGCGACGAUGCGUAGCCGACCUGAGAGGGUGACCGGCCACACUGGGACUGAGACACGGCCCAGACUCCUACGGGAGGCAGCAUG